rnacentral:rRNA from 1 species
UACGUAGGUGGCAAGCGUUAUCCGGAUUUACUGGGUGUAAAGGGAGCGUAGACGGCAUGGCAAGUCAGAUGUGAAAGCCCGGGGCUCAACCCCGGGACUGCAUUUGAAACUGUCAGGCUGGAGUGCAGGAGAGGUAAGUGGAAUUCCUAGUGUAGCGGUGAAAUGCGUAGAUAUUAGGAGGAACACCAGUGGCGAAGGCGGCUUACUGGACUGUAACUGACGUUGAGGCUCGAAAGCGUGGGGAGCAAACAGG